GAUGAACGCUGGCGGUGUGCCUAAUACAUGCAAGUCGAGCGAACGGACGAGAAGCUUGCUUCUCUGAUGUUAGCGGCGGACGGGUGAGUAACACGUGGAUAACCUACCUAUAAGACUGGGAUAACUUCGGGAAACCGGAGCUAAUACCGGAUGAUAUUUUGAACCGCAUGGUUCAAAAGUGAAAGACGGUCUUGCUGUCACUUAUAGAUGGAUCCGCGCUGCAUUAGCUAGUUGGUAAGGUAACGGCUUACCAAGGCAACGAUGCAUAGCCGACCUGAGAGGGUGAUCGGCCACACUGGAACUGAGACACGGUACAGACUCCUACGGGAGGCAGCAGUAGGGAAUCUUCCGCAAUGGGCGAAAGCCUGACGGAGCAACGCCGCGUGAGUGAUGAAGGUCUUCGGAUCGUAAAACUCUGUUAUUAGGGAAGAACAUAUGUGUAAGUAACUGUGCACAUCUUGACGGUACCUAAUCAGAAAGCCACGGCUAACUACGUG
rnacentral:rRNA from 1 species